UAGGGAAUCUUCCGCAAUGGGCGAAAGCCUGACGGAGCAACGCCGCGUGAGUGAUGAAGGUCUUCGGAUCGUAAAACUCUGUUAUUAGGGAAGACCAAAUGUGUAAGUAACUAUGCACGUCUUGACGGUACCUAAUCAGAAAGCCACGGCUAACUACGUGCCAGCAGCCGCGGUAAUACGUAGGUGGCAAGCGUUAUCCGGAAUUAUUGGGCGUAAAGCGCGCGUAGGCGGUUUUUUAAGUCUGAUGUGAAAGCCCACGGCUCAACCGUGGAGGGUCAUUGGAAACUGGAAAACUUGAGUGCAGAAGAGGAAAGUGGGAUUCCAUGUGUAGCGGUGAAAUGCGCAGAGAUAUGGAGGAACACCAGUGGCGAAGGCGACUUUCUGGUCUGUAACUGACGCUGAUGUGCGAAAGCGUGGGGAUCAAACAGG
rnacentral:rRNA from 1 species